GUUCUUCUUCCUAUGCACAUCUGUCCUUGUAAGCUGGAGGAGGACAUGUGUGCAUAGGGAAGAGAUCAGCUAGCCAAAUCUG
rnacentral:pre_miRNA from 1 species